CCUACGGGAGGCAGCAGUGAGGAAUAUUGGUCAAUGGACGAGAGUCUGAACCAGCCAAGUAGCGUGAAGGAUGACUGCCCUAUGGGUUGUAAACUUCUUUUAUAAAGGAAUAAAACGCGGCACGUGUGCCUUUUUGCAUGUACUUUAUGAAUAAGGAUCGGCUAACUCCGUGCCAGCAGCCGCGGUAAUACGGAGGAUCCGAGCGUUAUCCGGAUUUAUUGGGUUUAAAGGGAGCGUAGAUGGGUUGUUAAGUCAGUUGUGAAAGUUUGCGGCUCAACCGUAAAAUUGCAAUUGAUACUGGCAGUCGUGAGUACAGUUGAGGUAAGCGGAAUUCGUGGUGUAGCGGUGAAAUGCUUAGAUAUCACGAAGAACCCCGAUUGCGAAGGCAGCUUACUAAACUGUGACUGACAUUGAUGCUCGAAAGUGUGGGUAUCAAACAGGAUUAGAUACCCGGGUAGUC
rnacentral:rRNA from 1 species